AAAGGCAUGGAAGAAGGAAGUUGCUCUCCAAGAGUCUACUUCUUUGAGGUUCAGUGUACACUGAAGACCAGCUGAGACAUCCAACCUCAUGGACUGAACAACUACUGGAUGCUUGGAUCUUAUGUUUAUAGGCAGCCAUUGCUGGAUUAGCUGGACCACAGCCUUGUCAGCUAGGGCCACAGCCUCUUCCUGGAGUCCUGGUCCAUCAGCAUCCAUCAGUUGUCAUGGUCACCAUGGUCAAAUGGAAAGGGCAGAGCUCUGGACUACAGCACAGAGUUGCAAGAAGACACUGACUAAUAGGAAAAGGACCAGCAACCAGCUGAUCCAGACUGCGCAGCUAGUGAGUGCCGGCUCUGCGUCUAGAUGGUGGAUCACCUCAGGGACCUUCGCUCCUCGCUUGUGUCUCAGGGAUUAGACGGAACAGAGCCUAGACCUGUGGUAGAAGCUGUGGUCCUUAGAAAAGAUGCAGCCGCUGUCAGCUCCUGUUACGGUUGAUGGUGCAGAUUACCAGGAUGGAAAGGACAACUGAGAGAGAAACUGGUCAGUGGGACCCUGCCAUCCAGGUCCCUCACUUCCUGAGCACCCUGUGCUGCUCACCACCUCCCUACUGAAAGUAGUCGUGGCGUGAGCUCCACUUCAGAAGGCGCACUUUCCAUAGUCAUUUAUGAUUCCCCAGACACAGAGUAUUCUGGAGUGCCAGGAGGGAAGCUGCUUACCCAUGCAGCCCAAGUCCUUCACGCUACAGACGAAGAAACUGAGGCCUGCAAAAGUCACGGA
rnacentral:sRNA from 1 species